CAUGCAAGUCGAGCGGCAACACAGAGGAACUUGUUCCUUGGGUGGCGAGCCUCUUACGGGAGAGUAAUGCCUAGGAGAAAUUGCCCGGUAGAGGGGGAUAACCAUUGGAAACGAUGGCUAAUACCGCAUAACCUCGUAAGAGCAAAGCAGGGGACCUUCGGGCCUUGCGCUACCGGAUAUGCCCAGGUGGGAUUAGCUAGUUGGUGAGGUAAGGGCUCACCUAGGCCACGAUCCCUAGCUGGACUGAGAGGAUGAUCAGCCACACUGGAACUGAAACACGGUCCACACUCCCACGGGAGGCAGCAGUGGGGAAUAUUGCACAAUGGGCGCAAGCAUGAAUGCAGCCAUGCCGCGUGUAUGAAGAAGGCCUUCGGGUUGUAAAAGUACUUUCAGUAGGGAGGAAGGUGGUUAAGUUAAUACCUUAAUCAUUGGACGUUACCUACAGAAGAAGCACCGGCUAACUCCGUGCCAGCAGCCGCGGUAAUACGGAGGGUGCAAGCGUUAAUCGGAAUUACUGGGCGUAAAGCGCAUGCAGGUGGUUUGUUAAGUCAGAUGUGAAAGCCCUGGGCUCAACCUAGGAAUCGCAUUUGAAACUGACAAGCUAGAGUACUGUAGAGGGGGGUAGAAUUUCAGGUGUAGCGGUGAAAUGCGUAGAGAUCAGAAGGAAUACCGGUGGCGAAGGCGGCCCCCUGGACAGAUACUGACACUCAGAUGCGAAAGCGUGGGGAGCAAACAGGAUUCGAUACCCUGGUAGUCCACGCCGUAAACG
rnacentral:rRNA from 1 species